UCGUCGUAGGAGAGGAUGUGCGCCGCGUUUCCGGCGUGAGCGCUGGCGAGCGCGGGGUGGUCGCCGGGCGUCUGUUCGACGCGGAUUCGGAGGUCC
rnacentral:tRNA from 1 species